rnacentral:rRNA from 1 species
GGAAGUAAAAGUCGUAACAAGGUCUCCGUUGGUGAACCAGCGGAGGGGAUCAUUACCGAGUUUACAACUCCCAAACCCACUGUGAACUUAUACCCAAAACGUUGCCUCGGCGGGCACAGCGGUACCCGAGCCCCCGCAAGGGAGCAGAGGGCGCCCCGCCCGCCAGGGGACCAAAACUCUUCUGUAUACCCAUAGCGGCAUGUUUGAGUGGAUUUAAAAACAAAUGAAUCAAAACUUUCAACAACGGAUCUCUUGGUUCUGGCAUCGAUGAAGAACGCAGCGAAAUGCGAUACGUAAUGUGAAUUGCAGAAUUCAGUGAAUCAUCGAAUCUUUGAACGCACAUUGCGCCCGCCAGUAUUCUGGCGGGCAUGCCUGUUCGAGCGUCAUUUCAACCCUCAAGCCCUGCUUGGUGUUGGGGACCGGCUCAGCGGGUGCGGGCUUCGGCCCGUCCCGUGCCGCCCCCGAAAUGGAUCGGCGGUCUCGUCGCAGCCUUCUUUGCGUAGUAACAUACCACCUCGCAACAGGAGCGCGGCGCGGCCACUGCCGUAAAACGCCCAACUUUUUAGAGUUGACCUCGAAUCAGGUAGGAAUACCCGCUGAACUUAAGCAUAUCAAUAAGCGGAGG